GGGCAUCGCGACCGAACGAGGCGGG
rnacentral:piRNA from 1 species